GAGAGACGUUGUCCAUGAUCAGAGACAUUGUCCCAUGCUUCGCAGAGCUCUGCGCAAGAAUCGGUAGAGACACUGUGGUUCCUCGAUUCGACGGCAUGACCGCGAUCAUGGAGACAUUUGUCAAUGAUCACAGAGACACCGUCUAUGAUCUCAGAGACAUCGUCCACGAUCACAAAGACAUUGUCCAUGAUCACAGAGACUUUGUCUAUAAUCUCAGAGACAUUGUCCACGAUCACAGAGACGUAGUCCACGAUCAAAGAGUCUUCGUACAAUGAAGAAGUUCUUUGAGACCAGGACAGAGGCCUCCAGGUGUCACCACUUCAUCCACAACAUCGUCCACGAUCGCUGAGACGUCGUCCACGAUCGCAGAGACAUGGUCCACGAUCAGAGAGACAUUGUUGAGGAUGAGGGAGACAUCGUCCACGAUCAGAGACAUUGUCCACGAUCGCAGAGACCUUGUCAAAGACGAGAGAGACGUUGUCCAUGAUCAGAGACAUUGUCCCAUGCUUCGUAGAGACCUUGCGAUAGAAUCGGCGGAGACUGGGGUCACCGAUUUGACGGCACUGCCCGCGAUCAUGGAGACAUUGUCGAUGAUCACAGAGACACCGUCUAUGAUCUCAGAGACAUCGUCCACGAUCACAAAGACAUUGUCCAUGAUCACAGAGACUUUGUCUAUAAUCUCAGAGACAUUGUCCGUGAUCACAGAGACGUAGUCCACGAUCACAGAGACGUAGUCCACGAUCACAGAGACGUAGUCCACGAUCACAGAGAGUCUUCGUACAAUGAAGAAGUUCUUUGAGACCAGGACAGAGGCCUCCAGGUGUCACCACUUCAUCCACAACAUCGUCCACGAUCGCUGAGACGUCGUCCACGAUCGCAGAGACAUGGUCCACGAUCAGAGAGACAUUGUUGAGGAUGAGGGAGACAUCGUCCACGAUCAGAGACAUUGUCCACGAUCGCAGAGACCUUGUCAAAGACGAGAGAGACGUUGUCCAUGAUCAGAGACAUUGUCCCAUGCUUCGUAGAGACCUUGCGAUAGAAUCGGCGGAGACUGGGGUCACCGAUUUGACGGCACUGCCCGCGAUCAUGGAGACAUUGUCGAUGAUCACAGAGACACCGUCUAUGAUCUCAGAGACAUCGUCCACGAUCACAAAGACAUUGUCCAUGAUCACAGAGACUUUGUCUAUAAUCUCAGAGACAUUGUCCGUGAUCACAGAGACGUAGUCCACGAUCACAGAGACGUAGUCCACGAUCACAGAGACGUAGUCCACGAUCACAGAGAGUCUUCGUACAAUGAAGAAGUUCUUUGAGACCAGGACAGAGGCCUCCAGGUGUCACCACUUCAUCCACAACAUCGUCCACGAUCGCAGAGACGUCGUCCACGAUCAGAGAGACAUUGUUGAGGAUGAGGGAGACAUCGUCCACGAUCAGAGACAUUGUCCACGAUCGCAGAGACCUUGUCAAAGAUGAGAGAGACGUUGUCCAUGAUCAGAGACAUUGUCCCAUGCUUCGCAGAGCUCUGCGCAAGAAUCGGUAGUGACACUGUGGUUCCUCGAUUCGACGGCAUGACCGCGAUCAGGAGACAUUGUUAAUGAUCAGAGAGACACCGUCUAUGAUCUCAGAGACAUCGUCCACGAUCACAAAGACAUUGUCCAUGAUCACAGAGACUUUGUCUAUAAUCUCAGAGACAUUGUCCGUGAUCACAGAGACGUAGUCCACGAUCAAAGAGUCUUCGUACAAUGAAGAAGUUCUUUGAGAC